AAUCCUGUAGUCGAAAAUGUUGUCUCUCUUGAGUGGAUCCUGAGUACGACGGAGCACGUGAAAUUCCGUCGGAAUCUGGGAGGACCAUCUCCUAAGGCUAAAUACUCUCUAGUGACCGAUAGUGAACCAGUACCGUGAGGGAAAGGUGAAAAGCACCCCGGAAGGGGAGUGAAAUAGAACCUGAAACCGUGUGCUUACAAGUAGUCAGAGCCCGUUAAUGGGUGAUGGCGUGCCUUUUGUAGAAUGAACCGGCGAGUUACGAUUUGAUGCAAGGUUAAGCAGUAAAUGUGGAGCCGUAGCGAAAGCGAGUCUGAAUAGGGCGUUUAGUAUUUGGUCGUAGACCCGAAACCAGGUGAUCUACCCUUGGUCAGGUUGAAGUUCAGGUAACACUGAAUGGAGGACCGAACCGACUUACGUUGAAAAGUGAGCGGAUGAACUGAGGGUAGCGGAGAAAUUCCAAUCGAACCUGGAGAUAGCUGGUUCUCUCCGAAAUAGCUUUAGGGCUAGCCUCAAGUGAUGAUUAUUGGAGGUAGAGCACUGUUUGGACGAGGGGCCCCUCUCGGGUUACCGAAUUCAGACAAACUCCGAAUGCCAAUUAAUUUAACUUGGGAGUCAGAACAUGGGUGAUAAGGUCCGUGUUCGAAAGGGAAACAGCCCAGACCACCAGCUAAGGUCCCAAAAUAUAUGUUAAGUGGAAAAGGAUGUGGCGUUGCCCAGACAACUAGGAUGUUGGCUUAGAAGCAGCCAUCAUUUAAAGAGUGCGUAAUAGCUCACUAGUCGAGUGACACUGCGCCGAAAAUGUACCGGGGCUAAACAUAUUACCGAAGCUGUGGAUUGUCCUUUGGACAAUGGUAGGAGAGCGUUCUAAGGGCGUUGAAGCAUGAUCGUAAGGACAUGUGGAGCGCUUAGAAGUGAGAAUGCCGGUGUGAGUAGCGAAAGACGGGUGAGAAUCCCGUCCACCGAUUGACUAAGGUUUCCAGAGGAAGGCUCGUCCGCUCUGGGUUAGUCGGGUCCUAAGCUGAGGCCGACAGGCGUAGGCGAUGGAUAACAGGUUGAUAUUCCUGUACCACCUAUAAUCGUUUUAAUCGAUGGGGGGACGCAGUAGGAUAGGCGAAGCGUGCGAUUGGAUUGCACGUCUAAGCAGUAAGGCUGAGUAUUAGGCAAAUCCGGUACUCGUUAAGGCUGAGCUGUGAUGGGGAGAAGACAUUGUGUCUUCGAGUCGUUGAUUUCACACUGNNNNNNNNNNNNNNNNNNNNNNCGAGAAAAGCCUCUAGAUAGAAAAUAGGUGCCCGUACCGCAAACCGACACAGGUAGUCAAGAUGAGAAUUCUAAGGUGAGCGAGCGAACUCUCGUUAAGGAACUCGGCAAAAUGACCCCGUAACUUCGGGAGAAGGGGUGCUCUUUAGGGUUAACGCCCAGAAGAGCCGCAGUGAAUAGGCCCAAGCGACUGUUUAUCAAAAACACAGGUCUCUGCUAAACCGUAAGGUGAUGUAUAGGGGCUGACGCCUGCCCGGUGCUGGAAGGUUAAGAGGAGUGGUUAGCUUCUGCGAAGCUACGAAUCGAAGCCCCAGUAAACGGCGGCCGUAACUAUAACGGUCCUAAGGUAGCGAAAUUCCUUGUCGGGUAAGUUCCGACCCGCACGAAAGGCGUAACGAUUUGGGCACUGUCUCAACGAGAGACUCGGUGAAAUCAUAGUACCUGUGAAGAUGCAGGUUACCCGCGACAGGACGGAAAGACCCCGUGGAGCUUUACUGUAGCCUGAUAUUGAAAUUCGGCACAGCUUGUACAGGAUAGGUAGGAGCCUUUGAAACGUGAGCGCUAGCUUACGUGGAGGCGCUGGUGGGAUACUACCCUAGCUGUGUUGGCUUUCUAACCCGCACCACUUAUCGUGGUGGGAGACAGUGUCAGGCGGGCAGUUUGACUGGGGCGGUCGCCUCCUAAAAGGUAACGGAGGCGCUCAAAGGUUCCCUCAGAAUGGUUGGAAAUCAUUCAUAGAGUGUAAAGGCAUAAGGGAGCUUGACUGCGAGACCUACAAGUCGAGCAGGGUCGAAAGACGGACUUAGUGAUCCGGUGGUUCCGCAUGGAAGGGCCAUCGCUCAACGGAUAAAAGCUACCCCGGGGAUAACAGGCUUAUCUCCCCCAAGAGUUCACAUCGACGGGGAGGUUUGGCACCUCGAUGUCGGCUCAUCGCAUCCUGGGGCUGUAGUCGGUCCCAAGGGUUGGGCUGUUCGCCCAUUAAAGCGGUACGCGAGCUGGGUUCAGAACGUCGUGAGACAGUUCGGUCCCUAUCCGUCGUGGGCGUAGGAAAUUUGAGAGGAGCUGUCCUUAGUACGAGAGGACCGGGAUGGACAUACCUCUGGUGUACCAGUUGUCGUGCCAACGGCAUAGCUGGGUAGCUAUGUGUGGACGGGAUAAGUGCUGAAAGCAUCUAAGCAUGAAGCCCCCCUCAAGAUGAGAUUUCCCAACUUCGGUUAUAAGAUCCCUCAAAGAUGAUGAGGUUAAUAGGUUCGAGGUGGAAGCAUGGUGACAUGUGGAGCUGACGAAUACUAAUCGAUCGAAGACUUAAUCAA
rnacentral:rRNA from 1 species